rnacentral:pre_miRNA from 1 species
AUAAAACAUAGAGAGGACGAAACACAGACGACUACAUUCUUUCAUAAAGAAUGUAGUCGUCUGUGUUUCGUCCUCUCUAUGUUUUAU